AAAUACUAAUCAACUAUGAUAUGGUUUGCGUAUUUGUUUGUCCUUGGUUUUAUUCAAUUUCUAGUGCUGAAGGAAGUUACCACCAGCAUUGAAUCAGGGGAAAAUUAGCUUUUUGUUUAGUUUAUUAAGUAAUGUUAGUACCAGAGAUACAUUGAUUCACAAAUGCUGUUAAUUAUUCAACUCAAUUUUUCGAAGGUUUUUAUGAAGUAUACUAGGAUUGUAUCAUAACAUUAUGCUGUAGUUUUUUGUAGAUCUGUGUUUUCAGUAAAUAAUCAAUCGAAGAUUGUAAGCAACUGCUUGGAUAGGAAGUAACAAGCAUAAGCAUUUUCCAAAAUUUAUCUUAUAGGAAUAGCUUAUUGAUUUUCCAUAAUUUUGGGAAAACUAGAAACAACCUGUGCUGCUUUGCUCCUAUGUUCCUUCCCACUUCUUCCGUGUUUGUUUAUGACUGGUCAGUCUUCUCUGCUCCAAAGGUCACUGAUUCUGCUGAUUCCAGAACUGUGAUGGCAAUUCUUGGACCUGUUGAAGCGGUAGAUGAUGUAACAGGUGGACUGAAAAGCUGUAGUUUUCUCUCCAAUCAAGAUGAUUAGGCUUUACCUGAGUUCUCAAUUUAGUGUAGUUAGUGUAAAUUGCAGUGGCAUUAUAGCUUGUAGGAUUUAAGUUGUAUUGUUUCUGUAUUUUUCUUC